AGAUGGAAAAGGCUGCUGUGUUUUACUACAGCAGGAGCAGAGUUGGGGGUUCGCCACGUGCUCCAAAAAGUGCGCAGUCGAGGAAAGUGGGAGUGAUGAUGAUGAUGAUGAUGAUGAUGGUGGAGUGGUUGCGUAACGCACGCGCACCAUCCCGUCAGUCAGUCAGUAACAGCCGUCUGCUCGUGCUGGCCUGUUCGAGGAAGCGCGUGCGUAUUCAAUUCUGUGAAAAACGCCCCCCAUCUUCCGCCCCGUUCCUCCUAUAGGCUCAGUGCAAAGGUAUCGCAGAGCCGGGGGUGGCUUUAAAAACAUCCACUGUGCUCAUUCUGCCUCGCUGCCCGUCUUUCUCUCCCUCGGCUGUCUCUCGUUGGCGUACAGAGCGCACCAAAGAUGCCCAGCAAAAGCAAGAAAAACAAGCGCCGCAUGAAAAGGGCGAGAGCCCUGAAGGCGGUUCUUGAAGAGCAACAUGCAGCUAAGACACCAGUCAAAGCCAGCCGUGGGCUUGCUGUCGGUGCACCCCCUGCAACAAACCAAAAGAAACCAGUUAAAAAACCUACUCCUGCUCCAGCGCCAACACCAUGCCUGGCCCCUACUCUAGCCUCAGCUUCAGCUCCAACUCCAUGCCUGGCUCCAUCCCCAGCUCCAGUUGCAGAACAAGUUCCUGCUAAGAUUGUAGAACCCAUUCCCGUUGCUGUUCCCAUUGUGGAAGUCGCCAAAGUUGAACCAAAACCCAUUGUGCCAGAACCUGUUGCAGAGCCUGUCCCAUGUGAGAUAAAGUUGCCCGAGCCCGUUUUGAUUGAAGAGACUCCAGUUGAGGUAAAGUUGCCGGAGCCCGUUUUGAUUGAAGAAACUCCAGUUGAGGUAAUGUCGCCGGAGCCUGUUUUGAUUGAAGAGACUCCAGUUGAGGUAAAGUCGCCGGAGCCUGUUUUGAUUGAAGAGACUCCAGUUGAGGUAAAGUCGCCGGAGCCUGUUUUGAUUGAAGAGACUCCAGUAGAGGUGGAAGACAAAAUCCCAGCACCCGUCACUGAAGACGAAAAAGUUAUUUCGACGCAACAAGUUUUGGAACCUCCUACAGCGGAAGUUGUUGUGGAACUCAAGACUGAACAGGUCAUUCCUGAACCAGAAACAGUCCCAGAGCAGGUCUCACCUUUAGCUGAGGCUGCAGUGGAGACUCCUGCUCAGACAGAGGUUCCAACAUUUGAGACCACAGUUCUACUAAAGGAGGCUGAACAGGAUGUACCAAUCCAGUGUGUGGAAGUCCCAGAGGUGCCAAGUAUCAUCGCAGAGGAGAAGAAAGAAGAGGCUGAAGCUCCCGUUACAGAAGUUAAACAGCUCAUUGAAGACUCGCUGGUUGAAAACCUGACUGUCACUGAACCUCCAACAGUAAUUGAGUGUGAAAUCACUGAGUCUGCAGUUGUUCAACAGGAACCCGUGGCCGUUGCUGAUGCCCUCGCCGUGCAAACAGAAUGUGUGGUGGAGCCUCCUGCUGAGCCUGAGCCUGAGCCCAUUGUUGCACCUACAGAGGAAGUAGUCAGUGAUUGUGGCAUUGACCUGCUGCCAGAGGAGCCCAUGUCAAAUGUCUGUGACAUGGCAUGUCCGAUGCAGCUCUCUGUGGACUCUGUGCAGCUCAGCUCAGUGGAGAUGUCCAUGGACACAGUGCUGUCUGCACACAUGGCCCCAGAGGUUCCCAUCGAGGGUUAGAUGAUGAUCCAUACCAAACAACUUCUCUUUAUUCCCUUUCGGUCAUUUGGAAGACAUGCUACCUGACUUGAAGUCAUCCAGAUGAGAUUUUUCAUUCUUGAGGCUUAGUAAGGGACCAUCAGGAAAUCUAAGGGAUAUCCAUGCUUUGAAGUGCCUUUUCCUGGCCUUGGUUUUUGUUAUAUUAGAAAUAACAUCGAUGUGCAAAAAACAGGAGGGAAACAACAUACAUUCAAGGCCAUGCAUUUCACCAUUAAAUCAGUUUACCAACACAUACAAAUAUGUAGGAGGAAGAAAAGAAAGCAGAAGAGGUGAAAAUUUGACUUGAUAAUCCUGUUCCUUCACUCUGUGCAUGUGAGAACUCAACACGUAAACUCACAAGAGACAGAAAACCAGUUUUAUUUUCAUCCUACUUCACAUAAACUCAAUUUUUACCCUCUUUUCUGACCUUCGAUCAUCUGCUUCAGCUAUGUGCCAACGCUAAAGCGAGUGUGAUACUAAAAUCUAUAUCGCCAAAGCCUGAGUUUUCAGCUUGAGAGACUGAUGAGUGACAGGUUCUUCAGAGGAUUAACCCACAUGUCUUUUUAAAGAUCCUUUUCCCACCGUUUUUUCUUCUUUUUUUGUAAUUGAUUUUGUAUAGAUCUAAUGAUGUGCUACAGUUUUGUGUUCAAAGAUCAUGUUGUGGGAAAGAUGAUUUGAAUUAGGUUUGUAAGUUGGUUGGUUGGUUGACCUUUGAAAUAAAGCUGUAAUUCAUCUGGAUUCA
ensembl:lncRNA calphotin-like